GGGAUAGGCUGUGGGUUUCAAGGGAAAACAUAAUCGUUAAAAGGCAGGGAGGUGAGACCUGGAACUCAGGCCGCCCGAAGCCCGAAAGAUCACACCCAGCGAAAGAACAGAAAGCUGCUUCCCCAGCCUUGCCUGGAGCCCCAGGUCCCGGCACAAACUGCUGCAAGGGUGUGCUGAGAACCACAGAGCUGAGAGACUAUAGAACCCUCGAGGCCAAAGUACGCAUGCCCCUUUAUAAAAGGACGGGCAUUCCAUAGCUCAGUUCUUUAGUGAGGUUAGGAAAACACACUUAGACACUUAAACACAGCUCAAAACUGUCAUAAAUAGUGUCCUCCUUUAUGGUGUAAGUGUGUCCAUUUUGAAGCUUCUCCUGUUAAAGAAAUAGUUCUAUGGAGGGGGAAGCAAGAAAAAACACUUCCAAACUAAGCUAAUAGUUUCCUCUUAGCACCAUCACAAGAGCAGUUUCCCCUGGUACCAGGUGCCUAGUAGGGUACUGCCAUGUUGAAAGAACUAUGAAAACAACUUAUCCAGCGGCCCUGUGGUAGGGAGUGGGUCACACUUCAUUCUUUUGCAAUAGUAGGAGUCUGGAGGACAAAGACCAGGCUUUUUACCCUAUCUGAGCUGAACUUCCCACAAUCCUCUGCACAGUUAUUGAUGUCUGAAGAUUGUGUUCACAGGCCCAGAUGCCAACUGCAUCCUGAACGCAGAGGUGAUGAAUAGUCCCCCAAAUUUAGGGCGCCAAAGUCAAGACCAUCCCAACCAGUAUGUCACCCAGCAUCUACCCUUCGCAUCAGUGAGCUCCCACCAGGAGAGCAAGGAGGUUAACAUUCAGGUAUCAGGUACUAGCCUCAACUCCCAUCCCAGCCUCAGCUUCCUCAUCUGAAAAGUGGAGAAAUAUCUUCCAUAUUCGAGUUGCUGUUAGGAUCAAAUGAAAUGAUGCAUAUAAAACAUUUAGCACAGUAUCCAGCACAAAGUAAGUGCUCAAUAGUUAUUGUUACUAUGUCAGGAACUCAGGCCCUGGGAGUGAAUGGGACGUGGAGACCUCCCUCUAGGAGAGCACAGCCAGAGCCACCUAGUCCCAACAGAACCACGUGCACACAAUGCCAUGGGAACAGAGAGGCUCACCCCUGCCAGUCUUUCCUGCGUUAGUUAACUCCUCCUCCACCAGCAGAAACUCAAGCUUCCUGGGUUCUGUUUACUCAUCCCACUACAAACUUCCUGGUACAGUAAUAACCUUCCCUUUUCCCCAAAUGCUCUCCACUGGGAAGCUCCCUGUGACUUAGAGCCAGAGAGAAUUAUAUGUACAUAUACUGUUUAUCCCGAGCGGACGAAGUAACUGAAAAUCCACGCCUGAUUUCUAGGCCAAUCAGGUAGGUUUCCGAGGCUCAACCCAGACCUCUUCUGAACUUGCUCCAUGUUCUUUCCUAAGAGAGAGAACCAAGUUAAGCCUAAUGCUGGGAGGAAUUUAAGGCAUAGAGAUUGGGAGUGCAAAAAGCCACUCAGCAUCCUUGGGGUAAAGGAGGACAGAAAAAGCAGAGAAGCAAACUUCAUUCUAUAACGUAUUAAAUGCACAGUUAAACAGCAUAGUUACAGUGAAACCCAAUACUUCCCAUCACGUCAAUGAAACGAAAGUCAAACAUACCAAAGGCAGCUCAAUCUACAUAUUUCUGGCACUGGGCAUCACAAUCAUAUUUUUGAUCUUUGCUAUCCUUUAUGCUCACAGCACUAUGUCUCCUCAACCCAGUCUUUUGAGGAAAGAUUCAACUCUUUCUGAUCUCUGAUUACAUCAUCAGUCACAAUUUAUGUCUUAACCCACAUUUUCUAUCUGUGUUUGAAGCUAAUGAAGAACCAAGUCUCUGUGUGGCUUUUGUAGGCAAAAUUUACCUGUUUACUGCCCUGCAGAUGUUGUUAAUAGAGUAAGCAGUAUGUCCUCAAAUGAUAAAUGGACAAGACGGCAAGUGCCCUGAUCUUCAGGGAACAUUGCUGAGUCAUUUUAUCCAGCCAGUUUAUACCAGCAAAGCACUUGUUGAUGAUGGGAGCUGCUGUGAUACCAGAGGCUUAGAAAUAGCUGUAGAGUAGAGUGCAGAUGUUGAAGUUUUGGAAAGAUCACUGAAAGUUCCCCGAUUAGAAGCGGUAUGUCUACGGCAAGUCAGUUCUGUAAGGCUGCACUGUUACAUCCAUUUAACCUGCUUGCCUAAGAAGCUAAAAAGGAAGACUUACUCAAAGCAAGUACAUUUCAUGCAGCUAAAUACAUGUCUGGAUCCUAUCAAGAAGCUAAAGCUUUGUUGAAAUCCUACUUCCAGCAACAUGACUACAUCUCUUGGACUGCAAAUUCUCUCUACAAGGAGCAAUGAUGAAGCACACUAGCCUCCCCAUCCCCGAGUAUUCACACACUUCAUCUUUGAAGUGAGUCAAUAUUCUUCAGCUGGUGCACGUCCCCCACAAGCUACAAGGCCCACCAACCAGAACAUAGAUUCUAGUUCAUUCACUCACCAGUCUUCCUGGAGACCCAGCACAGCACAGAUGAGAGUUUAGGGGAACAUCACAACGGAACAACCACAACAUCACCAACAAAGCUAAGUGAUCCGAGAAGUCCCCACCUUCAACAAACUGAAAACGUACAAAAGGAAAGAAAAGCAACCGGUCCAGUUCUGGACACAGGGAACACAACUUCUGGAGAGGUAUUCCUGUUCCAUGAAACACACUUUGGGAAACAAAGGCACAGAGAGAAGAGCAAUUCAACAGGAGCCAGGAGCCCUCUCUGCUUCUCACUUGCUCUGUGACCUGGGAACAAGACACCCUCUUCACACCAAGGCUCUAUGUUCCUACUAUAAGUUUCCUCUUCCAGCCACUUUGCUGGUCCCUACAUGCUACAAUAAAUAAUACAUCUGCUGGCCUCUAGUCAACACUCUCCGUGAACCAGAAAUUCCCAUUAUCACCAAAAACCUGAAACGAAGAGGAAAAGAAACACACAGGUUAGCUCACAAAGCAGCACGCCUGGACUUGGGGAGGCGGGGCAGUCAAGGAAGCAAGAUUACAACAUAGGAGCCAGGCCAGUAAUGAAUUCUAGGGAAAGUGGGAAUACUCCCUUUACCCUAAGUCAACCCAUCUCCUCAAGGUCAGGGCUUAUACCAGAGUUUCCAAGUAAGUAUCCAAUUCUUGUUUAAGUGCAUACCCUACUGGAGGAGGUCCUACAGAUGAAAGGCACGAAUGAGCCCUCGAUAGCUUCUGACAAGUAAGCUCCAGGUCCCUGAGCACCUUGGGAAGCAGACUUCCACCUAGGUCCCUUUGCAUCAGGCUGGGCACACCAUCACAUGCCAUUCAGUCUUAUUACACCAUAUUGACAAAAGUGUGAAAGCACAUUUUGGCGGGUUUUAAGGUGAACUGUUCUACCUAAGUCCCCGGAGGGCAGGAGAGGGUAGAUUCAUACUGUUCACCCACUAGAGUUCUGAUGGGCACGUUUCACUUGAUAGUGCAUGAGAAUCUGAAAGAGUGAUCAACUUUAGUCAUCAGGGAAAUGCAAACUAAAAACACAAGAUACCACUAUAUGCCACCAUGAU